GACGAACCGUGCGAACGUUGUUCGGAAUCACUGGGCUUAAAGGGCGCGUAGGCGGGCCGCCAAGUCAGGGGUGAAAUCCUCCGGCUCAACCGGAGAACAGCUUUUGAUACUGGCGGCCUCGAGGGGGGUAGGGGCAUGUGGAACUUCCGGUGGAGCGGUGAAAUGCGUUGAUAUCCACAGGAACGCCGGUGGCGAAGGCGGCACGCUGGACCCUCUCUGACGCUGAGGCGCGAAAGCCAGGGGAGCAAACGGG
rnacentral:rRNA from 1 species